AGUUGUUCCUUGGAGAUAAACUUGUUUUGAAAGCAAGCUGAAAGUGUUCGAUUCACUUAACAACUU
rnacentral:tRNA from 1 species